UACGGGGGGGGCAAGCGUUAAUCGGAAUUACUGGGCGUAAAGCGUGCGCAGGCGGCUUUGCAAGACAGAUGUGAAAUCCCCGGGCUUAACCUGGGAACUGCAUUUGUGACUGCAUGGCUGGAGUGCGGCAGAGGGGGAUGGAAUUCCGCGUGUAGCAGUGAAAUGCGUAGAUAUGCGGAGGAACACCGAUGGCGAAGGCAGUCCCCUGGGCCUGUACUGACGCUCAUGCACGAAAGCGUGGGGAGCAAACAGG
rnacentral:rRNA from 1 species